rnacentral:sRNA from 1 species
GCUGGCGGGGCGCAGGCCGCGGGACCCGAGCCCGGGGGAGCGAGAGAGCGGAGGCGCCGAGGAUCCGAUUCAUUCGCUGGGGAGACCUAUGGGCCGAAGCCGUGUAGAUGCGUUUUAAGCAGGGGCCUCGGCUCCGCAACUGCCACUCCUCCUCGGGGUGUUGCACAAGUUUCGAGGUCACCGGCGACCCCCCCUAGCAGCGCUCCUGGCUCUGGCCCCCGCGAAGGAGGACGGAGUUUGGAUGGUUCUGUGCAUUGCUACUGAUGACUCCCACUCCCUGAGCUGCCUGAGCCUAAAGUUUGGAGUGUCACUGAAAUCCUGCAGACACCUGCUUGAAAAUGCGAAGAAGAACCAUGCGGAGGUGGUGGGUGUGAGUUUUCACAUUGGCAGUGGCUGUCCUGACCCUCAGGCCUAUGCUCAGUCCAUCGCAGAUGCCCGGCUCGUGUUUGAAAUGGGCACCGAGCUGGGUCACAAGAUGCACGUUCUGGACCUUGGUGGUGGCUUCCCUGGCACAGAAGGGGCCAAAGUGAGAUUUGAAGAGAUUGCUUCCGUGAUCAACUCAGCCUUGGACCUGUACUUCCCAGAGGGCUGUGGCGUGGACAUCUUUGCUGAGCUGGGGCGCUACUACGUGACCUCGGCCUUCACUGUGGCAGUCAGCAUCAUUGCCAAGAAGGAGGUUCUGCUAGACCAGCCUGG